rnacentral:rRNA from 1 species
CAAAGGCUUGGUCCUGACUUUACUAUCAACUUUAGCUAAACUUACACAUGCAAGUAUCCGCACCCCUGUGAGAAUGCCCUACAGUUCCCUGCCCGGGAACAAGGAGCUGGUAUCAGGCACAUUAAGUUAAGCCCACGACACCUUGCUUAGCCACACCCCCAAGGGAACUCAGCAGUGAUAAACAUUAAGCCAUAAGUGAAAACUUGACUUAGUCAAAGCUAAGAGGGCCGGUAAAACUCGUGCCAGCCACCGCGGUUAUACGAGAGGCCCAAGUUGAUAGCCCCCGGCGUAAAGAGUGGUUAAGAUAACCUGAAUACUAAAGCCGAAUACCCUCAAAGCUGUUAUACGCACCCGAGAGUAAGAAGAACAAUCACGAAAGUGGCUUACAACAC